AGGCUUUUGGGAUAGCGUUGGAAACGUAAA
rnacentral:piRNA from 1 species